rnacentral:tRNA from 1 species
ACCUGGCUGGCUCAGUCGGUAGAGCAUGUGACACUUGAUCUCAGGGUUGCGAGUUCGAGCCCCAUGCUGGGUA